CUACGGGAGGCAGCAGUGAGGAAUAUUGCACAAUGGGGGGAACCCUGAUGCAGCAACGCCGCGUGGAGGAUGACGCAUUUCGGUGUGUAAACUCCUUUUAUAUGUCAAGAAAAUGACGGUAGCAUAUGAAUAAGCACCGGCUAACUCCGUGCCAGCAGCCGCGGUAAUACGGAGGGUGCAAGCGUUACUCGGAAUCACUGGGCGUAAAGGACGCGUAGGCGGGUUGGAAAGUCAGGUGUGAAAUCCUAUAGCUUAACUGUAGAACUGCACUUGAAACUUCUAGUCUAGAGUAUGGGAGGGGGAGAUGGAAUUAGUGGUGUAGGGGUAAAAUCCGUAGAUAUCACUAGGAAUACCUAAAGCGAAGGCGAUCUCCUGGAACAUUACUGACGCUAAGGCGUGAAAGCGUGGGGAGCAAACAGGAUUAGAUACCCCCGUAGUC
rnacentral:rRNA from 1 species